UACGUAGGCAGCAAGCGUUGUUCGGAAUUACUGGGCGUAAAGAGUACGUAGGUGGUUUGCCAAGUCCGAUGUGAAAUCUCCUGGCUUAACUGGGAGGGGGCGUUAGAUACUGGCAGGCUUGAGUGUGGGAGAGGAGAGCGGAAUUCCUGGUGUAGCGGUGAAAUGCGUAGAUAUCAGGAGGAACGCCUGUGGUGUAGACGGCUCUCUGGACCAUUACUGACACUGAGGUACGAAAGCGUGGGUAGCAAACAGG
rnacentral:rRNA from 1 species